rnacentral:rRNA from 1 species
UAACACCUGGAAACAGAUGCUAAUACCGGAUAACAACAGAUGAUGCCUAUCAACUGUUUAAAAGAUGGUUCUGCUAUCACUCUUGGAUGGACCUGCGGUGCAUUAGCUAGUUGGUAGGGUAACGGCCUACCAAGGCGAUGAUGCAUAGCCGAGUUGAGAGACUGAUCGGCCACAUUGGGACUGAGACACGGCCCAAACUCCUACGGGAGGCAGCAGGC